rnacentral:rRNA from 1 species
UACGUAGGGGGCAAGCGUUGUCCGGAGUUACUGGGCGUAAAGCGCCCGCAGGCGGUCGCGUCAGUUCGGGGUGACAGCUCUCGGCUUAACCGAGAGAGGACCUUGAAGACGGCGCGACUUGAGGGCCAGAGAGGGACAUGGAACUCCGGGUGGAGUGGUGAAAUGCGUAGAGAUCCGGAAGAACACCAAAGGCGAAGGCAGUGUCCUGGCUGGCACCUGACGCUCGGGGGCGAAAGCGAGGGGAGCGAACGGG